rnacentral:rRNA from 1 species
AUUGAACGCUGGCGGCAGGCCUAACACAUGCAAGUCGAGCGAGCGGCGGACGGGUGAGUAAUGUCUGGGAAAAUGCCCGAUGGAGGGGGAUAACUAUUGGAAACGGUAGCUAAUACCGCAUACGACCUGAUAUGCCCACAGGGGAUUAGCUAGUAGGUGGGGUAACGGCUCACCACGGCGACGAUCCCUAGCUGGUCUGAGAGGAGGACCAGCCACACUGGAACUGAGACACGGUCCAGACUCCUACGGGAGGCAGCAGUGGGGAAUAUUGCACAAUGGGCGCAAGCCUGAUGCAGCCAUGCCGCGUGUAUGAAGAAGGCCUUCGGGUUGUAAAGCACUUUCAGCGGGGAGGCGUUACCCGCAGAAGAAGCACCGGCUAACUCCGUGCCAGCAGCCGCGGUAAUUC